rnacentral:rRNA from 1 species
UACAGAGGUCCCGAGCGUUGUUCGGAUUCACUGGGCGUAAAGGGUGCGUAGGUGGUUUGGUAAGUUUGAUGUGAAAUCUCCGAGCUUAACUUGGAAACUGCAUUGAAUACUAUCGGACUGGAGGAUUGGAGGGGGGACUGGAAUACUUGGUGUAGCAGUGAAAUGCGUAGAUAUCAAGUGGAACACCAGUGGCGAAGGCGAGUCCCUGGACAAAUCCUGACACUGAGGCACGAAAGCCAGGGGAGCAAACAGG